rnacentral:rRNA from 1 species
GAUGAACGCUGGCGGCGUGCUUAACACAUGCAAGUCGAACGGUGAAAGAGAGCUUGCUCUCUGGCUCAGUGGCGAACGGGUGAGUAACACGUGAGCAAUCUGCCCCUGACUCUGGGAUAAGCGCUGGAAACGGCGUCUAAUACCGGAUACGAGCUGCGAAGGCAUCUUCAGCAGCUGGAAAGAACUUCGGUCAGGGAUGAGCUCGCGGCCUAUCAGCUAGUUGGUGAGGUAACGGCUCACCAAGGCGUCGACGGGUAGCCGGCCUGAGAGGGUGACCGGCCACACUGGGACUGAGACACGGCCCAGACUCCUACGGGAGGCAGCAGUGGGGAAUAUUGCACAAUGGGCGAAAGCCUGAUGCAGCAACGCCGCGUGAGGGACGACGGCCUUCGGGUGGUAAACCUCUUUUAGCAGGGAAGAAGCGAAAGUGACGGUACCUGCAGAAAAAGCGCCGGCUAACUACGU